UCACCUGGAUCAGCGGGAGGCAACGUGUGUCAGUUCCCAAGGUGCGUAAUAACACCUUUCGCAUCUUGGAAGGGGCCUGGCUCUGCUCCGCAUUCUCAGGGCGACCCUGUCCCGAAGGCGCAGUGCCCUUCCUUGGACUCAGGCGAUCACCCUUUGCAGUGGGCUCAUCCAAGGGACACUCAAGGGACACCGCAACGUAAUCGCGCAGCGGUGGAGCGGAGCCCUCCGGGGACCCCAGCGACCGGGGCCCUGAGACCCGUCCCAAGGCGGGAGACGAGGAGCCGUGCCCGGGACGAGCACUGGACUCCGGGCGGCCUUCGCCCUCGGGUCUGCCCGCCGCGGGGAGGAGCCGGCCUCGGGGUGGAGGCGUCGGCAGCGCGCGGCCGCCAGCAGGGGCGCCAGGUUCAGAGCCGCCGGGGCCGUCGCCGCCAGCCGCGUCCGGGAACCAGACGCCGCGAAGCCGAGUCCCGCUCGGGGGGCAGCCGCGGAGCGCGCCGGGGACACGGGCUCCUGCCUCGGCCUCCGGGGAGCCCCACCUCCCGGCACGCGGCUGCUUGGGGGGGCGAAGGGGAUCGGGGGAAACGGGGGCGCGGAGAGGGCGGGGCUGCGCGGGCGGGAGGGCGGGGGGAAGCGGGGGCGGGGCGGGGGCGGGAGCGGGAGGGGCGGGGCGGGGAGCGGGAGGGGCGGGGCGGGCGCCGCGCCUCCGAGCCGCACUCGUGCAGCCCGCACAAUGGAGGCCCCGCCCCCGCCCUCGACCCCGGCCCCGCCCCCCUCCCUCGCCCGCCACCUGAGCCCUCGGGAGGACGCCGCGCUCGCUCCCGGGGCCGACCCCGCCCCCUUGCCCCGCCCCCGCCCCGCAAGGCCCCGCCCCGUCGGCCCCCCGCCCCCGCCCCCCAUGCUCGUCCCGCCCGCGCCCCGCCCACAUGCCCGCCGCGCCUCGCGACCCGCCCCCAGCCCCGCCCCCCCUGCCCCCCCUGCCCCCCGCCCCUCCUGCCACCUGAACCCUCGGGCGGACGCCGCGCUCGCUCCCGGGGCCGCCCCGCCCCGCCCCGCGCCCCGCCCAUCGCCCCUCCCUCUCCUCGCCCCCGCCCCGCCCGCCACCUGAGCCCUCGGGCGGACGCAGUGCUCGCUCCCGCGCCCCGCCCAAGCCCGCCCCGCCCCGCGCCCCGCCCCGCCCCUGCACUCGCCCCGCCCCCACCCCGCCCCCGCCCCGCCCGCCACCUGAGCCCUCGGGAGGACGCCGCGCUCGCUCCCGGGGCCGCCCCCCGCGCCGCCCCCCGCCCCGCGCCCCGCCCAUCGCCCCUCCCUCGCCCCGCCCCUCGCCCCGCCCCUGCACUCGCCCCUGCACUCGCCCCGCCCCCCGCCCCGCCCGCCACCUGA
rnacentral:lncRNA from 1 species